rnacentral:rRNA from 1 species
GACGAACGCUGGCGGCGUGCUUAACACAUGCAAGUCGAACGGAAAGGCCCUGCUUUUGUGGGGUGCUCGAGUGGCGAACGGGUGAGUAACACGUGAGUAACCUGCCCUUGACUUUGGGAUAACUUCAGGAAACUGGGGCUAAUACCGGAUAGGAGCUCCUGCCGCAUGGUGGGGGUUGGAAAGUUUCGGCGGUUGGGGAUGGACUCGCGGCUUAUCAGCUUGUUGGUGGGGUAGUGGCUUACCAAGGCUUUGACGGGUAGCCGGCCUGAGAGGGUGACCGGCCACAUUGGGACUGAGAUACGGCCCAGACUCCUACGGGAGGCGGCAGUGGGGAAUAUUGCACAAUGGGCGGAAGCCUGAUGCAGCAACGCCGCGUGCGGGAUGACGGCCUUCGGGUUGUAAACCGCUUUCGCCUGUGACGAAGCGUGAGUGACGGUAAUGGGUAAAGAAGCACCGGCUAACUACGUG